AGCCUCCUGCAAAGCUUCCCUUCUCUCCAAGAGUUUGCUCCCUGAAGCUGUAAAAAUAACAAGGUCCCAGCAGAGCCUGGUGGCAGAGCUCAGUUCAGGAAGGGCCCGCAGCGUGUGUUGCUGGAGACUCUACAUUCGUGUGGACACGUGUGCGCAGGUGUGUGGGCUCGUGUGCGCGCUCCUGUGGGUGUCUGCGGCUUGCUGCAAGACCCGAGGAUAAAUAUGAAAGAAACCAGAUGAGGGCAUGGAGGCCCUUUGACCAUAGGGUUAGAGACGAUCCCACAGGAAAUGGCGGAAGAAGCGACAAGAACUCCAGCCCCAGAAUGUCUUCUAGGAGCGCUGCCUCCUCUACCUGGUACUUCUUACCUUCGGAUUGUUUAAUUAUAAAGAAAUAAGUGUCCAUCUUG